rfam:Ictidomys tridecemlineatus contig041281, whole genome shotgun sequence.
GGGGCUAUAGCUCAGUUGGUAGAGUACUUGCUUUGCAUGCAAGAGACUCUGGGUUCAAUCCCCAGCACCA